rnacentral:rRNA from 1 species
CGGGGUGCACCAGGCGCGAAAACUCUACAAUGCAGGCAACUGCGAUAGGGGAACAUCGAGUGAUCCUCAUAUUGGGGGUCUGUCCACCCGUCUAAAAAACGGGUGUUAGCAAGGGCCGGGCAAGACCGGUGCCAGCCGCCGCGGUAAUACCGGCGGCUCGAGUGGUGGCCGAUAUUAUUGAGUCUAAAGGGUCCGUAGCCGGCUUUGCAAGUCUCUCGGGAAAUCCAGCGGCUUAACCGUUGGUCGUCCGGGGGGUACUACAUUGCUUGGGACUGGGAGAGGUAGGAGGUACUCAGGGGGUAGGAGUGAAAUCCUGUAAUCCUCUGGGGACCACCGGUGGCGAAGGCGUCCUACCAGAACAGGUCCGACGGUGAGGGACGAAAGCUAGGGGCACGAACCGGAUUAGAUACCCGGGUAGUCCUAGCCGUAAACGAUGCUCGCUAGGUGUCACAACAGUCGUGAACUGUUGUGGUGCCGUAGGGAAGCCGUGAAGCGAGCCACUUGGGAAGUACGACCGCAAGGUUGAAACUUAAAGGAAUUGGCGGGGGAGCACAAGGGCGAAUCGCGG